rnacentral:rRNA from 1 species
CACCGUUGGGAUACCACCCCUGUAGUACUGGGACUCUAACCAGAGGCCUUGAAUCAGGUCUUGGGACACUGUCAGGCGGGCAGUUUGACUGGGGCGGUCGCCUCCCAAAAGGUAACGGAGGCGCUCAAAGGUUCUCUCAGCACGGUCGGAAAUCGUGCAUAGAGUGUAAAGGCAUAAGAGAGCUUGAUUGCAAGACAUACAGGUCGAGCAAGGACGAAAGUCGGACUUAGUGAUCCGGUGGUUCUGAG